rnacentral:sRNA from 1 species
GCAUUUCACUUGCAAUGAUUUGGAAGUGCUGUUAUGAUGUAAGAGAAUUAUUUUUGUUCGGCAAUGACGUUCGGGUGGAAUUCUCUUCAUCCUGACACAUCAAGACUUGAGCAAGGAUAGUAACACAUGUGUGUCGAACGGCACCAAGGAGGAAACAAACAUGGAACAAGGUAAAGUAAAAUGGUUUAACGCAGAAAAAGGAUUCGGUUUCAUCGAGCGCGAAGAUGGCGACGAUGUAUUCGUACACUUCUCCGCUAUCCAGCAAGACGGGUUCAAGUCCCUUGAUGAAGGUCAAGAAGUAGAAUUCGAAAUCGAAGAAGGCCCACGCGGUCUUCAAGCUGCGAACGUCGUAAAAAUGUAAUUUCAUUUAACGACUUCUAAAAACGCCGUCUCCUCCGGGAGACGGCGUUUUU